UACGAAGGGGGCUAGCGUUGCUCGGAAUGACUGGGCGUAAAGCGUACGUAGGCGGCUUUGCAAGUUAGAGGUGAAAGCCUGGAGCUCAACUCCAGAACUGCCUUUAAAACUGCAUCGCUUGAAUCCAGGAGAGGUGAGUGGAAUUCCGAGUGUAGAGGUGAAAUUCGUAGAUAUUCGGAAGAACACCAGUGGCGAAGGCGGCUCACUGGACUGGUAUUGACGCUGAGGUACGAAAGCGUGGGGAGCAAACAGG
rnacentral:rRNA from 1 species